rnacentral:tRNA from 1 species
CUGAAAUUCUAACUAAACUAUUCCCUG